AGCCUUAGAGACGUGGGUCCCCGGGGGUCGAGGGGCGCAGAGGCGGAGGAAGGGGAGGCAGCUGUCGGUCACUGAGCUCCUGGGCGCAGCCCAGCCCAAGACCAGGCCCCUAGAACCUUCCAGAUGCCGGAGCCGUUGUGCCGGUGAAGGAGAGGAGGAGGCAGCAAGGAGUGGGUGGACUGGGAGUAACCCAGGCCCAGAGGCCCGAGCAUCCCCGGUGGCUGCACAGCGUCUGGACGGCAAGUUUGGCUGAGCAGUCACACACACAGAGAGAGAGAGAGAGAGGCAGAGACACAGGCAGAGGGAGAAGCAGGC